rnacentral:rRNA from 1 species
UACAGAGGUGGCAAGCGUUGUUCGGAAUUACUGGGCGUAAAGGGCGAGUAGGCGGCCUUCUAAGUCAGACGUGAAAUCCCCCGGCUUAACCUGGGAACUGCGUCUGAUACUGGGAGGCUUGAGUAUGGGAGAGGGAUGUAGAAUUCCAGGUGUAGCGGUGAAAUGCGUAGAUAUCGGGAGGAACACCAGUGGCGAAGGCGGGCACCUGGGCUAACACUGACGCUGAUGCGCGAAAGCUAGGGGAGCAAACAGG